CUUCAAACACAUCCAUCCCGUGUUCACAUUUUACGGUUUCCUCGUCUUUCAUAUCCCCCCCUCGUGCAAUCCCUCAGUGUGACUGACUGCGUGCCCCCACCCUGUGUGUAAACUGUCGUAUCAUGGUGUUUUCGAAUGCCACUGCACGCACCGGCAAACCUGCCCGUGUCUAAAACGCACCACUCUCCACGCUCUGUUAGCUCCCAGCCCAGCACGUAAUUCCCAUAAUUCUGCUUGCUGCAACAGAAUCAUGGGAGGCAUUAGGAAGCAGCGAGACCCAAAAAAACAUGAAGAAGGGAAAAAAAAAAACCCCAGCUCUGGAGAGCGGCGGCAAUGCAUCGGUGACCUUUGUUGAGAGCUGCAGAGGAACUACACUUCCUAUUGUCUGACCUAUGACCUCUCACCCCGUGGCAGUAUGGGUCAUAUUUUCCACAUGCCGAGCUCGGGGACCUGUCUCGGCAUCCAGGAGGGGAACGAGGAAUGUUGGGAGUAGCUGGCAGCAGAUGCUCUGUUGUUUUGGAAAAAAAAAAAGAAAAAAGUAAGGCUUAUGCUGGGCUGGGGACAUCAAUAUGCCCUCUACCGCUCUAUGUGAGGCAACCUCCAGCACAACACCAGGCUGGUAAAAUGGAGGACAAACUGGGCGGCCCAAAAAAACGAAAUAAGAGACAGAACCUGUUGAUGGGACCGGAGAUGUUUACCAUCGCCUACAUCCGACAUUUAAACUCACCAGAACACUUCCUCUAAUGUUGUUGGCGAGUUCACAUGCAGGAGGUGGGGGACCGGCCCACCAUGUUUAAGAGACCCCCUCAAAACAAACCUUGCAUCGCGUGUUUGACGCCUUUUCCCGACCGGUGCGGGCUGACCGCCACCGCUCGCUCCCUCUCCCCUCGAGUCCCUGACCUGCAGUGACUCGCCGAGACGCGAGAUAAAUUAAAAGUUUCAUCACAAUCUCAGAACGAGUCAUCGCUCUUGAAAAAGAACUGCGUGGUGCGCCAGCGACAGAGGAUGAGGGAGACGAGGGACGAGGCCUGUUACUGGCACACGCACACGCACAGAUCCAGCGCGCACACACACACACAUACACACACAUAUAAAUACCCUACCAUAAACACACACUGCAUAAGCGCACACACCCACCACAGGACUCACGCCCCAGCACGCGCACAGUAAAAUAAAAACCUUUUCCUCCUUCUUCACGCGCGGAGCAAUCACCGCCACAGCAGCAGAGUGAAGCGGAAAAACAAGCAGGAAAACAACAGAUUUCAGCCUCUCUUCCUCUUAUUCUCUCUGUCUGUCUCUCAGCAAGGCAAGCAUACAAGAGAACGUACCUCGGAAAACCUCCUGCUGCAUCUCUGCUGCGAUGUGUUCUUUCCCC
ensembl:lncRNA